GAUGAAGAACGUAGCGAAAUGCGAUAAGUAAUGUGAAUUGCAGAAUUCAGUGAAUCAUCGAAUCUUUGAACGCGCAUUGCGGCCGCCAGUAUUCUGGCGGGCAUGCCUGUUCGAGCGUCAUUACAACCCUCAGGCCCCCGGGCCUGGCGUUGGGGAUCGGCGGAGCCCCCCGUGGGCACACGCCGUCCCCCAAAUGCAGUGGCGGUCCCGCCGCAGCUUCCAUCGCGUAGUAGCUAACACCUCGCGACUGGAGAGCGGCGCGGCCACGCCGUAAAACACCCAACUCUUCUGAAGUUGACCUCGAAUCAGGUAGGAAUACCCGCUGAACUUAAGCAUAUUAAUAAGCGGAGGA
rnacentral:misc_RNA from 1 species